GACGAACGCUGGCGGCGUGCUUAACACAUGCAAGUCGAACGGAAAGGCCCUGCUUUUGUGGGGUGCUCGAGUGGCGAACGGGUGAGUAACACGUGAGUAACCUGCCCUUGACUUUGGGAUAACUUCAGGAAACUGGGGCUAAUACCGGAUAGGAGCUCCUGCUGCAUGGGGGGGGUUGGAAAGUUUCGGCGGUUGGGGAUGGACUCGCGGCUUAUCAGCUUGUUGGUGGGGUAGUGGCUUACCAAGUCUGAGAAGGGUAGCCGGCCUGAGAGGGUGACCGGCCACAUGGCGCCUGCGGUACGGCGCAGUCGCCUACGGGCGGCAGUAGUGGGGAAUAUUGCAGAGUGGGCGGAAGUCUGAGGCGGCAGUGCCGCGAGCGGGAUGCCGUCUUUCGGGUUGUAAACCGCCUUCGCCUGUGACGAAGCGUGAUUGACGGUAAUGGGUAAAGAAGCACCGGCUAACUACGUG
rnacentral:rRNA from 1 species